AUUGAACGCUGGCGGCAGGCUUAACACAUGCAAGUCGAGCGGGGUGAUGGUGCUUGCACUAUCACUUAGCGGCGGACGGGUGAGUAAUGCUUAGGAAUCGGCCUAUUAGUGGGGGACAACAUCUCGAAAGGGAUGCUAAUAUCGCAUCCGUCCUAAGGGAGAAAGCAGGGGAUCACUCUUGACCUUGCGCUAAUAGAUGAGCCUAAGUCGGAUUAGGUAGUUGGUGGGGUAAAGGCCUACCAAGGCGACGAUCUGCAUCGGGUCUGAGAGGAUGAUCCGCCAAACUGGGACUGGAACACGGCCCAGACUCCUAAGGGAGGCAGCAGUGGGGAAUAUUGGACAAUGGGGGGAACCCUGAUCCAGCCAUGCCGCGUGUGUGAAGAAGGCCUUAUGGUUGUAAAGCACUUUAAGCGAGGAGGAGGCUCUUUUGGUUAAUACCCAAGAUGAGUGGACGUUACUCGCAGAAUAAGCACCGGCUAACUCUGUGCCAGCCGCCGCGGUAA
rnacentral:rRNA from 1 species